UACGGAGGGUGCAAGCGUUAUCCGGAAUCAUUGGGUUUAAAGGGUCCGCAGGCGGAUUUAUAAGUCAGUGGUGAAAGCCCGUCGCUCAACGACGGAACUGCCAUUGAUACUGUAAGUCUUUGAAUUCGGUCGAAGUGGGCGGAAUAUGACAUGUAGCGGUGAAAUGCUUAGAUAUGUCAUAGAACACCGAUAGCGAAGGCAGCUCACUAGGCCUGGAUUGACGCUCAGGGACGAAAGCGUGGGGAGCAAACAGGG
rnacentral:rRNA from 1 species